ensembl:lncRNA
AUGUUUCUCUCCAUAAAUACCAAGCAGAAGCUGGAGGCCUGUGUGCAACAUGUGAGUUUACCCAACUCCGAUCCAACAGCUGGUCACAAGCUAGCGAGAAGAGGAAAACAAAGCGCAUCUAUGACAAAUUCAAGCCUUCAUUUCUCAGCUCUCUUAGAACUCAUAUUUAUUUCCUGGUUUCCAGAAGCUGGGAGUCACCAUGUCAAUGGAGUCGUUUACUUACCUAUCCAAGCCCUGGAGGAGAAGCCUGAGAUCAAUAUGCAUGUAAGAAAAAGGAGAAAUUAACAUCUGUAAGUAUUGAAUCUUUUAUAGAAAUCAUGUUUGUAUUUUUUAAAUUAUAUGUGCUUUUAGAAAUAUUCUCAGUAAAAUUUUAUAACUUUCUUCUUGUAAAUCUUAGAUAUUUUUUCAUAGGUUAGUUUCUAGGUACUUAAAGUGUUUCUUGAUGUCUAAAUGAUGUAGUUUUAAUGAUGUUUUGUCACUGGAAUUUGCAGAUAUAUAAGAAUGUUUUAUUUCUUUCUUAUAUGGUUUUCUCACCAAAACUCUCUUUAUAAAAAUGACUAUUUUUAGAGCAAUUUUUCAGUUUACAGAAAAUCUGGGCAAAAAAGGAAUUCCCAUAACCCCUUCUUCCUUCAAUAUAGUUUCUCCUGUUAUUAACAUUUUAUAUUAAUGUGGAACAUUUGUUACAAUUGAUGAACCAUUAUUGAAACAUUAUUAACUAAAGUUCAUAGUUUACAUUAGUGUUCUUUCUUUGUGUUGUAAAGUUCUAUAUUUUUUUGUUUGUUUUGUUUUUGAGACAGGGUCUCACUUUGUCACCCAGGCUGGAGUUAAGUGAUGCAAUUACAGCUCACUGCAGCCUCAGCUUUCCGGGCUCAAGGGGUCCUCCCGCCUCAGCCUCCUGAGUAGUUGGGAGUACAGGCAUGCGCCACCACACCUGGCUAAUUUUCAUAUUUUUUUGUAUAGUUGGGCUGCCCAGGCUGGUCUCAAACUCCUAGGCUCGAGCAACACCACCCCUUGGCCUCCCAAAAUGCUGGAAUUACAGGAGUGAGCCAUCACACCCAGGAAAAAU